rnacentral:rRNA from 1 species
CCACAUGCAAGUCGAACGCUGAAGCCUGCAGCUUGCUGUGGGUGGAUGAGUGGCGAACGGGUGAGUAACACGUGAGUAACCUGCCCUUCACUCUGGGAUAAGCGCUGGAAACGGCGUCUAAUACCGGAUACGACCAGUCCUCGCAUGGGGUGCUGGUGGAAAGCUCCGGCGGUGAAGGAUGGACUCGCGGCCUAUCAGCUUGUUGGUGGGGUAAUGGCCUACCAAGGCGACGACGGGUAGCCGGCCUGAGAGGGCGACCGGCCACACUGGGACUGAGACACGGCCCAGACUCCUACGGGAGGCAGCAGUGGGGAAUAUUGCACAAUGGGCGCAAGCCUGAUGCAGCGACGCCGCGUGAGGGAUGACGGCCUUCGGGUUGUAAACCUCUUUCAGUGGGGACGAAGCCAGCGUGCUGGUGACGGUACCUUCAGAAGAAGCACCGGCUAACUACGUGCCAGCAGCCGCGGUAAUACGUAGGGUGCAAGCGUUGUCCGGAAUUAUUGGGCGUAAAGAGCUCGUAGGUGGUUUGUCGCGUCUGCUGUGAAAACCUUCCGCUCAACGGGGGGCCUGCAGUGGGUACGGGCAGACUAGAGUGCAGUAGAGGAGUCUGGAAUUCCUGGUGUAGCGGUGGAAUGCGCAGAUAUCAGGAGGAACACCGGUGGCGAAGGCGGGACUCUGGGCUGUUACUGACGCUGAGGAGCGAAAGCAUGGGGAGCGAACAGGAUUAGAUACCCU